GUGUGUACACUCACAGCACAAUAUGCAAUACCAACUCUUAACUUUGAAUACAUUCUAAUGUCACUACCACAGCAGAUUCCACACACUUUUAGAGGUCUUUUUGGGUUGUAACGGGGCUUGGGUACGGUGGGAUAAACAAAAAAAUUGGAUAACAAAGGGUUUUGAACUCGGUAGUCAUGUUGUGUGAUUUUUCUUUCUCUUUUUCUCGUGCAUCACGUAUACUCUGGGGGUUAAUUUCACUCUUUUGACUCUUUUUCUACUCAAAUUUUCUGAGCAUUUUAUAUGUGUUAGAGUCUUAAGUCUCGGCAAGUGCAUUUUGCUCUUUUGUUUUUCUUUUCUCUUUUUUUUCUCUUUUUUUUUAAAGAAAAUACAUACUAUUUUUCUUUUUGUAUGAUCUCUUAUUAUGCACUUGCCUUCUCUUUCAAGAUUUCCACCCCAAACUUAGUUUUAUUGCACAUCUUGCAAUUCACACAAUCAUACCGAGUUAUGACACAAAAG
rnacentral:lncRNA from 1 species